UACGUAGGGUGCGAGCGUUAAUCGGAAUUACUGGGCGUAAAGCGUGCGCAGGCGGUUCGCUGUGUCCGAUGUGAAAGCCCCGGGCUUAACCUGGGAAUGGCAUUGGAAACUGGCGGGCUUGAGUGCGGCAGAGGGGGGUGGAAUUCCGCGUAUAGCAGUGAAAUGCGUAGAGAUGCGGAGGAACACCGAUGGCGAAGGCAGCCCCCUGGGUCGACACUGACGCUCAGGCACGAAAGCGUGGGGAGCAAACAGG
rnacentral:rRNA from 1 species